CCUCUCGUCCACAAGCCCCAAUCGCCUCCCGUCCUCGAGCCCCACAUCACAGCGACCCUCCUCUCCUCUCCCGUGAUUCCCGUCGCGUCGCCGCCCUUUCCUCCAUCCCCGCCCCUGUCGCGAGCCCCUCUUCUUCCCCAUCCCACCGACAUCAUCCUCUACCGCUCUCCUCGUUGUGAGUCGCUCCAGGUCGCAGAGGAUGAUAUGCAUCCGGAUCUGCGCAGUUGAGGUGAGGAACGGAGGUGGGGGGAAGGAGCAGCGAUGCUGUUGACCAGUCAGGGGACGGAGGUGGAGGAAGGAGUAGCAAGGCUGGUGAUGGGCCAGGGGCCACCAGAGGAUGCAGAAGGGGGACGACGUCGCGCUUCUCGCCACCUCCACAUCCUCCUUAUCAGCGGCGGUGCAACUCCAGCAGGGAAGGGGGACGACGCUGCGCUUCUGAUGCUGGUUCACAUGCAGGUUUCAGAGAGUAGCACCAUGCAUUGCAUGAUGACUGUGGGUGAUCUUUGCAAGACAAUGCUUUUGAGUAUCGGAAUUAUGGUCAUUCUCAAAAGGGUUAAUCAGUCAUCUGUUCGUCUGUAUUGCUACUCGGGGAGGUAAGUUCUUCCUUGCUCAUCUCAUAUUCGACAAAUUCAUGUGAACUGAGAUGACUCUCCAUGAGCUGGCCAAGGUGGUUCACGCUAAGGAAGCAGCCGACAGUGCAAGCAUGUAUAUACUGAUGGUAGUUUCUUUGACUGAAUAUGUGAACCUGGAGAAGACUCUGCUAUUAGAACGGCUGAAGGAGAGUAUGCAGAUCUUCAGUAUCUUCGACAGGUUUUUGUUCUGUUACAAGCGCUAAUGGCCUAUUUUCAUUUUGUUGAACUAUGAUUGUUUCUGUAUGCUUCUUCUCUAAAAGCAAAUUGUAUUCUGUUAUAGUUACAGUCAGUGUGGGCCUGAAAAUUCACAUCACCAAAAGAAUUGUAGAAUUUGAUAAGAGAAUUGUUUCUUAAUAAGUAAAUAAGAUACAAAUACAGUGUCUAACAUUGAUGGAAUGAACCUGCUGCAAGAGGCAAUAAAAGUGACGAUGCUUGAUUUUAUUAAUUGACAGGAUGAAAUAUUAAGUAGUAAGAUAAAUGUGAGCAUUCACCUAAUUUGUUUUUUACCUAUUGAAAUGGGUAGUUGGUCACGUACUGUCAACUUGGUACAUUCAGUGUGCGUGUUCAGGUUUUAGGAUGAAAUUUAAUCCAAGAUCAUUACUUCAUGUUUUCCUACGUUUAUGUUGGCAUCUUUGACUUUGAUAUGUUCAUUGCACUCUAUUGGUUCUGAUGCCACAAAGUGACUGUGCUUUGUUAGUACAUCUAUGGAUACUUAUGCUUUAUUCAAGACACAAUCAGUUUCUUUUUCCUUUGUAAAUAGUCUGUAGAUAUAGCGUUGGCCUGAGCCCCUAAGUGUCGUAUACUAUUUCCUGCAUGCUCAUUUUCUCUUUAUAUUCAAUUCAUGUGCCUUAGCAACAACCUAAGUUAAAGACAACAGGAAUAAAUAUUAGUUGUUUCAUCUAUGGCCUCGUCAUUUAGCUUUUACUUAAACUGAAUAAAAAAAUUGAAUAAUUUCAAUAUAUACUAUUUAAUGUUUUGCCAAGACUCUCAUAGUGUGUUAAAAAUUUAAAUAUAUAACUAUGCAAUAACAAAGUUAUAAAUUGAUCCAGUGUUUCGUAUGAAGGAUUCGAUUAGUGUAUUUGUAAUGCAGUUUUGUGAUUCAGUAUCGUCGUGGUAGUUCAAAGACCCAAGGUGAGAUCGUCAUAUUUGAUUUCUUAGUUCCUAGGUCACAAAUCAUCUGCUAUCGCCAACAUUCGAGUUGUCCAUCCAUCCAUCUAUCUAUGGUGCGCUCGCCAACCACAUCCUCUGUUCAGAUUUUGAGUGUGGCAACAGGUCAUCAGUUGUAGUGUCAAAUACAAGAUUAAGCUAUUUGAAUCUUGCCAUAUGGUAGACCUACGAGCAGAACAAAAAAAAUAUAUAACUUAUGCUGGUUAGAACAAAUGCUCAGCUCGCCUUGUUUUUUUCUUUUUUGCCUCUUUUUGGUCCUGUUCAGAGGAGAUGUUAAAUGUUGGUUGAUGUCUGCAUAUCGCCUUGUAUUUAAUGAAAAUAAGGUCCUUCGAUGGAUAUCCAUGGCUUUCAGUUUUACUUGCAGCCAAUGAAUAUAGUUAUGGCACUUGUUGCCUUGUUGCGCUGUUCAAUGAUUAUCAGGAUUUUAACACCUACACUAUAUAUCCUAGGUAAACCACAUGGUGUUGUUUUCAAAUCAUAUGUUUGUCCUAGGUAAACCACAGGAAUUUAUGAACUUUCUUGGCCGCUUUAUUAGAACUACGGGUUUGUAAUAUGCUCCGGUUUUAUCACUUUAUGAGUAUGUAUAUGGUAGGGAGCAGCACCCGUGUAAGCGAGAAAACUUGUUGGUUGCCUGCAUAUCAUGUGAUAGUUUUUGGCUACUAUUCUGCUCAUGUUUCCAUGAACCCAUUUAUGAUUCGAAGCAGUCAGGCCUCUCUCUUCCUUCUAAUUUUUCCAUGAACACCAUGGCCGCCUUCGCCGAGAGCGCCCGCAUCUUCAUCCAUUGCCUCUCUGCCAGGUACGUGCCUCCUGCCAUGCCUCUCCUUGUUCUUCCUUACCUCCAUUUUUGCUCUGAUUCUUAGGGGUAAACCUGUUUGAUUUGGUUAAUUAGGUUAAUUAGGGUGACCGUUUCUUUUUGGGUUAUCUGGGUGCGAAUUUGAUGCUUGUGUUAAAUGUUCGAGGUAUCUUGGGCAGGAAAAAAUGGUGGUAGUUAAUUUAUUGGCGCCAGUUAGUAUUACUGGAGAUUAAUUUAAUUGAUUGGCUUAAAAAACUUUCAUGUAUCAAAACAGUGUUAGUACUUUUGUGUUGUGGUAUUGAAUGGUUUACCAAAAGGAAGAGGGUUAAUUUUGCUUGCUGAAAUGAACUCAGCUAGCAACCUUGCUCUUGAAGAUUACACCACAACAACUGAAAAGAUUGCAGAGCAAAAAAAUGGUGGUGGUUAAUUUAUUGGCGCCAGUUAGUACUACUGGAGAUUAAUUUAAUUGAUUGGCUUAAAAAACUUUCAUGUAUCAAAAUAGUGUUAGUACUUUUGUGUUGUGGUAUUGAAUGGUUUACCAAAAGGAAGAGGGUUAAUUUUGCUUUCUGAAAUGAACUCAGCUAGCAAGCUUGCUCUUGAAGAUUACACCACAACAACUGAAAAGAUUGCAGAGCAACAUUAUGAUUUUAUGAAUGGAUUUAUAUCAGCAAAUCUUGCAUCUUAGUUGGUCCAGCUAUGCCUAUGCCAACAUCUGAAAGUUAUUGGCAUUCUUUUCCCCUUCUGAAUAUUUUAUUUUAAUUUGUAGGAGCUUUAGCCGGGUUGCUCAUCAGUAAAAACUGAGAAGUGUGUUUCUUCGUAGAUGGUUGCGAUAUGGAGAAAGAAUUUGGAUAUUUGGAGUGUGCACUGGACCUAUUGGAAGAUAAUUCCAUUACUAGAUUCAUAACUUUUGGAGUCCAUUCAAUAUUCAAUCACAAAAUUCACUUAUAAGAACAACUACAUACAUAUGAUUGCUGCACUCAUGAUAUCCUACUGUAUUGCUUCUUAGUGAUGAUUAAUUAUGAGAACAAAUAUAAAACUGCUGCUGCCUGUGCUAAUGGUUGGUACCCACUUGCUUUUGGAUCUUCGAUGCUGCCAUUUUUUUCCUAUCGAGUAUUGAUACUUGUUUGCUUUCUUUUGCUGUUAUGCUAAAUUUGUAUUUUGAUUUUGUAAACUAGGUCUGCACAGAAAUACAUUUAGUCCUCAAAAAUGUUAAAUGAAGACGCCCUGAUGAUGCUAAAGCAUUUCUAAAUCUGAAGUAUCGAGGAAGUUAACAACAUGGAAUGUAUGACGCUAAGUGCUCUGUGGUACAGAUGGUUUAGUAGUACCAUACUACCUUGAUUAGAUGCUUAUAACUGUGACAUGUUGCAUGAAUACUUCUGUUACGUAUAGCUAUGGCUGCCCAACAAGCGGUGAGCCUAAGAACCCCGUCGGAUGUUCAUUGCAUAUAGCUCGGGAGGCAGACAAGAGGAACCAAGCGGAUCUCCUUCCAUGACGGCAACCCAAGCAGAACCGAAAUCUUCCACGUGGCGGCAGCCAUUAGUGAGAUCUGGAGGGGAGCAGCAGCCGCGGCCUCGAUCCGGAGAAGGGGAGCAGCAGCGCCCCUCUUCUUCACACGUGGCGGCCUUGCGCAGCUGCCUCCAUCCCACGCGUGCAGCUGCCACAUGAAGGCAAGCGAGCACACAUGAAAUAGAUAUGGCAAGUGGAUUUCCUCUCACCUCAACACUUACUGAAUUCAGUACCAGAAGAAGCCUGCUAUGCCACUGAUUUUGCACUACUGGUGUAAAUAUUGAGAACUAUAUGAACUGAUGCACCUUGUGGUCUGGAAAUAUGUAUAUCUCUGUCUCCUUUUCCUAGCACUUCUCAUUUAUGAAACAAUUCAUUCCCUAUACCGUAUUUAAAUAUCUUUACAUUUGAACAUAACUUAUACUAGGAAUUCCAAGGUUUUUUAAGUAAUCGAGUGAAACCUAUUCUUGCAGGCUCCUGAUUGUGUGGAUAUUUGCAGCUUCAGAAUUAUUUUAUUCUUAGCCAUAUGUCAUCAAGGUGCAGCUGCUCAUAUGAUUUCCACUCGCUAUGGAAUUAGGAGAAGUCAGUUACUUGAUCUGACUGUUUAAAGUUCCACGGUUUUUCAAUAUAUGUUAACUAUGUUCAGAGAUCUAAAAGACUAUCAGGCUACACCAAUUCUGAAUGCAGUUUGAAAGUACUUGUUGUUCUAUGUUCUUGGGCACGUAAUAAGCUUCAAGCUUGCGACAGAAAAAGAUACACAUGCUCACAAUUAUUAUCUUCUGGCGACCAUUUUAGGCUUGUUUCACGAAGUGAGUAUGCAAGAUAACUUCAGGCAAAGUGUACAGAGGCUGCAGCUGAAGCCGGACUUUGAUGCUUGCAAGUUGGUGGAUCACCAGUUAUUAUCAGGUUCAAUCCCUUUGCCAUGUAAUACUGUGGCGACAUUGUCUGUUAUGUAUAAUUGUGCACACAGGUUUCUGUUGGAACAAUCACUGAAAACGAUGAUAGACUUUGUCUCACAUGUGUCGCUCACUGAUGAGAACUAGACUGAAGUGAAUUGUGCUAGAGAAGGAGUGGCCGGGAAAGUACACCAGUGAUGCCCUACAAGGCGAGCAGAAGAAAGCUAAAGAGAUGCUCCGUGUAAUCCCUAAGAAGCAGAAAGGGAGCAAAAGAACAGGUCCGCUUCAAGGGUAAAAUCCUCUGGGUUUUUUUUUCGAAAAGGAGGUUAUCCCCUGGCCUCUGCAUCAGAAUGAUGCAUGCGCCCAUCUUAUUAAUAAGCUGAUAAAAUCAUCUGUAAUCCCUAAUUGUGCUUUUGUGAAAAUAUGUGGAUCAGUUUGAUGCUGGACACGAUUAAUUUACUAUUGUUGGUACAUGUAGAAGUAAUUCUGGAUUAGCCACAUUGUGGUUUCCUACUAGGAACUGAAAUUAUGCCCAGUUCAUUGGCAUGGUAUUAUGUUGAUGUACUCUCAUUAUCUGCAUUAAUGUUAAUACUUCAGAACUGUUCAUAAUUUA